UUCUUGGAGUGCAGUUUUCAUUCUUGUGUCUUCAAUAUCUAACAGACUUAAUAAUGGUGCUUGAGAAGUACUGUUGCUUUUACCAAGGAUGCUCUGCUAAUUAACAAGUCAGCAAAUAAUUUUCGAGCGUCUGCCAUGUGCCAACCACUUUGCUAAACAGCAGGGAUAUAUUGUGAACUGUGAACAAGACCAAUUGAGGUCCCUAUUUUUGUGAGACUUGAAUUGUGAUGGAGGGAGACAGAUGAUGAGCACAUAAACCAGUAAGCUGAUUUUUGGUACAGUUAAGUGCUGUAAAGGACGUAAUGCAGGGAGCAUAUUCAUCUAACAUACUUUAGCAGACAUUCUAGUUACUAGCAUCCACAAAAGAGAAAAAGAGUAGUCAUACAAAAUGGACGCAAUUAACUUUUGUAUAUUGAUCUUGUACCUAAUGACUUUGCUGAACUUACUAGUUCUAAUAGUUUUUUAGUGGAUUCCUGUACUUUCUAUAUACAAGAGUGUGUCAUCUGAGCAUAUGGGACUUUUUAGUUUUUCCCUUCUAAUCUGAAUGCCUUUUAUUUAUUUCUCUUGCCUAAUUGCUUGGCCAGAACUUCCAGUACAAUGUCGAAUAAAAAUGGUGAAAGCAAACAUCCUUGUCUUGUUCCUCAUCUUAGAAAGUAUUCAGUCAUUUGCCACUGAGCGUGAUGUUAACUAUGCAUUUUUUGUAGAUUUCCUCCAUUGUUUCUUUGCUUGCAAUUAUUCGGUUACCUUGCUUGCAACACUCAACACGUUUAGCCAUUCUCAGCAACAUGUGAUAGUAUACUAACCAAUAUUUCUAGCAUCAUUUGCAAUGCUACCUUUUUUUUAAAGAUUUUAUUUAUUCAUGAUAGACACACACGGAGAGGCAGAAACACAGACAGAGGGAGAAGAAGACUCCUAGCAAAGAGCCCGAUGCGGGACUCGAUCCCAACCCCAGGAUCAUGCCCAAAGGCAGAUGCUCGACCGCUGAGCCACCCAGGCGUCCCAUCAAUGCUACUUCUUUAUGCACUAAAAUGUUUUCAUUUAUUGAUUUGUUUCAUCUUAACCGUUUGUAUAGAAAUCUUUCCAAAGUGGUAAACAUUCCUGGCUACUUUAAACAGAAUACAUAUAAUUCAACUGUUGCUUUUAAACUUGGAUCUAAUUGUGAUGUAUUACUAUGCUAGCUAAUAAUGUGGUGAUGCCUUUGGGAGAUUAUUGGAUAGUCUGGCCCUACAAAGAGUCCUUUCAAACUGCUCUACGUUUUGUGCAUCUGUGUCUCCUUUUUACAAAUACAGAUUGUCCUGUCCCUAGUUGUUAAUUGGCACUUUUUCUGACCUUACGAUGCUUGCCUCUGAGAACAUUCUCUUUUAAUAGGUGAUAUCUAAUCUCCUGAGGACCAGGCUGCGAGAGAACCAAAAUAUUUAGAAGAUUUUGUAAAAUAAGAGUAAAUGAACUGAGAAAUAAAUUAUUUUGUGAAUUAAGUGCAUGAACUUUCCUAUAUCUUGUUUGGUUAAAUUUCCUAGGUACUUGGUUCUGUUCUGAAAUGAAUCACUGUUGAGUGUGAGGUACUCACUAUAUCAUAAAUAAAAUUAUUUCUCAGAGGCUUGUACUAGUUCCCACAACCUCAUCCCCAUUCCUAGUCAGUUUUCAUGAGUUGAACUCUCCCUAUUUCUCUUACUCCUCCAGGACAUGAAUGUUCAUAGUAGCCUUAUUCAUAAUCACCAUAAAAUCAAAACAACGUAAAGUCAAAUAAACAGGAAUUGUCACAUUAAUUAGUACAAUAGAAUAUUUUGUAGCAGUUGAACAAAUUAUAGCUAUAUUCAGCAACACGGAUGAAUCACACAAUGUUGGAUCAAAGGCCAGAUGUAAAAUUUUUGCCUAAUACAUGAUUACAUAUAAAUCUCAAAAACAGUGUUUGAAGUCAAGGUAGCUGUUACCUUUAAGGGAGGAAGGUAGGGACAGUAAGACAAGACUAAAAUAAGGCAGAAAGGUAGAAAGUAAAGAGGUCACCAGGAAGAGGUAAAAGUCCUAAAACUAGAUGCACCUAAUAACAUAGACUCAAAUGCAUAAGAUGGGCAGAAUUAACAAAAAGAAACUGACAGAUCCUAUGAGCACAUGGAGAUCUUAACAUCUCCUUUGUGAAAGUUCAGUAGGCUGAAGACAUUUUGAGCAAUAUCUGAUAAUUAUUCACUCCUAAAUUAGGAAAUACAUUUUCAAGCAUGCUUAGAACACUUACAACAGUUCACUAUCCCAUAUUGAGCUGAAAUCUGUUUUACUAAGGUUUUUAUCUUCUGCUCCUAGUUCUGUCUAUUGGAACCAUAAAGACAUGUUACUCUUUCAGUGACAACCCUUCUAAUUUUUAAAGACAGCUGCCAUGUGUCCAGUGAGUCAUGUAUCUGGUUUAACCAAACAAGAGUGAUUGAAGGAUGACCAUCACAUCUGGGUGGAUGUGCCACUUAUUGGAAUAGAAAACACUGGUGAGCCUGGUGAAACAGUAACAAAGAUCUCCCCUUGGAUGCCUAGUGGUCUCCUAACACUUAACAUGUCCAAAAUUGGUCUCUAUUCUUAUAUAAAAAUCUGCUACUCUGCCAGUGUUCCUUACCUCCAUGAGCAGCAUCACCAUUGACUCAGGUGUUCAGGCCAAAAAAUCUCCAGAUCCUUCUUACUCCUCGUGCCACUAUAACAAAUCCUUCCAGGAUAUAUUGCAAUCCUAUCAUUUUUCCCCUUUACCUCUACCACUGAGUCCAAGUUUCCAUUGCUCUUGUCUAGACCAUAACAAUAGUUUUUGGGGUUUUUUUUUGUUUUGUUUUGUUUUGUUUAAUUUGAGAGAGGGGGAGUGCAUGUGCACAUGUGGAAAGAGUGAGGAGGAGUAAAGGGAGAGGGCGCAAAUCUCAAGCAGACUCCAUGCAGAACUUGGGCCAGAUCUCACAAGCCUGAGAUCAUGACCCAAGCUGAAACCAAGAGUCUGACUCCCAACCAAUUGAGCUACCCAGACCACAACAAUAGCUUCUUAACUGAUCCCCCUGUUUCUACAGUUCCCCCAUACAUUCUCUUCUCCAUAUUGGAACCAGAAAGAUCCUUUUACAUGUAAGUUGGACCCUGUUUUUUUCUCUCAUCCCUAUAGUGACUUCCAACAAACUUAGAAUAGUGCAGAGUGCCCUGGUGGCUCGGCAGUUUAGCGCUGCCUUUGGCCCAGGGUGUGAUCCUGGAGACCCAGGAUCGAGUCCCAUGUCGGGCUCCCUGCAUGGAGCCUGCUUCUCCCUCUGCCUGUGUCUCUGACUCUUUCUCUCUCUCCGUGUCUCUCAUGAAUAAAUAAAUAAAAUCUUAAAAAAAAAAAAAA
rnacentral:lncRNA from 1 species